UACGAAGGGACCUAGCGUAGUUCGGAAUUACUGGGCUUAAAGAGCUCGUAGGUGGUUAAGAAAGUUGGUGGUGAAAUCCCAAGGCUCAACCUUGGAACUGCCACCAAAACUUUUUGACUAGAGUAUGAUAGAGGUAAGUGGAAUUUCUAGUGUAGAGGUGAAAUUCGUAGAUAUUAGAAAGAACACCAAUUGCGAAGGCAACUUUCUGGAUCAUUACUGACACUGAGGAGCGAAAGCAUGGGUAGCGAAGAGG
rnacentral:rRNA from 1 species